AUCAAAACAUGCUGGCAAGUGUUCCCACAUGAGAAAUGUCAAGAAAUUGGUUCAGAAAUAAGUGAAAAUGAGGGAGACUCAAGACAUGAAAGUUAAGUCUUGUACAUCCCUCAAGUGCAGUAGAGGAUGAAGUGAUAAAUAUUUUGAGAAGAUUUCCUCCUGUCUGCUCUUAUUAGCGCCCAACAUCUGUCAUAAGAAAAAUAUUCAACCCAGAUUGAAUGGUAGCCCAGUGCCACUGUAUGGGACCAGAGAAAC